GCACAGCCCAAACACACAUGUCCCUUCCCGAUCCCCCGCCAGACGGACAGACAAACACGCAUGCAAACCGCCCCCACCCGUCUCCACGCGCCCGGGUCCAGCCGGCAGCGGCCAGAGCCGCUCUGCAGCCGGUGCACCCGCAAGGCGAGGGCGCCUCCGCCUGAACCUUCCAUCGAGACAGUCCCCUCCUUCCUCGCUUCCUUCCUUCGCUCCUUCCUUCCUUCCUUCCUUGCCCGGGAGGUAAAGGGAGUCACUGAAAUGCCCAGAGCCAGCGCCUUCGCUGCGCUCGCUCGGCCGCAGGCCGGCGGCCCGGGCCUCGCGCCGCCAGCCCGCCCGGCCGCCUGCGCCGCGCGCCGCGGCCCCCUCCCCCGCUACCUGACAACGGGCCGCCGCCGGCCGCCGCAGCCGCAGCGGUGGCCGGGCCGUGCGCGCCGGUGCACGUCGCUCAUUAGUAAGCAGGCACAUUCCUGCCUCCAGCGCUCCCGCGCGGCCCCCUCCCCCCAGGACAUUACGCAAAGCAGCCUCCCCUCAUCUGCAUAGAUCCGCGGCCAGGGUAUUCCCCGCAUUUCCCCACGCGCCCGACACCCCUCCCGCGGUCUCCCCCAUCCCCGCCCCCUCCGACCCUCACCCUCGGGCCACCGGGAAGGGGCUGGGGGCACACGCCGGGGAGCGGGGGACGGAGUUCGGCGGCGGCGAUUCCAAUAUAAAGUGAAACAAGCUCCCAGCGCCGAAGGAGGCAGGAAAAACCCAGCGUCCAGGCCACUUACCGAGCCGAGGAGGGACCUAGAUUCCCGCCGCUCCGCUCUCGCGGUGGCCGGUCCGCCCUCCGCGCACCCCGAGGCUGCACCCAGCACCCCAGACGCGAGACGUGGAGGAACGCUGUGAACGAGCCGGGAGACCCUCCAAGUUGCUCUGGGCUCCGUGGAGCGUCAAGGUCCAAGACACAACUUGGCAAAGACUUGUGCCACAGUCACCGAAGAUGUUUGUGCGGAGACCCUCCUGCGGGGAACGACGGCGCUCGGCGGCGCCCCGCUCUCCUCCUCUCCACCCCCUCACCUCCAGCCCGCCUCCCGCCGGCCGCCCGCCUCCGGGCCGCGAGCCCCUCGGGCGGCUGUCAGCUCCCGGCCGCCGCCGGGUGACAGGGGCGGGAGGAGGGCGCGACGCGGCGGCCCGAGCCCCAGCGGGCGAGGGGGAUCCUCGCAGCCGCGGCGGCCGCUCACCUGGAAAGUCACCGCUGAGGAGGAGGAGAAGGAGGACGGGGAGGAGGAGGGAGAGGAGGAGGGGGAGGAAACCCCCCUGGUGCCCUUGUUCUCGCUGCCGCGGCGGCCGCUCCUCGCCAAGGCUGAGCGUGUCUGGUGGGGGGUGUCUGGUAGCAUUUCCUUAAGGACAGAGGGAGGGCGGGCGCGGAGGGAGGGAAAAGAUCCCGACCGCCAGCCCAGGCUCCUCUUGCCUUUAUUUAUUUUUCUGACACUGUACGGAGAUGGGCCCGGGGCAGGGGCCGCCGGGCUCAGGCGGGAGCCGCGAGGCCCGGGCCGCAGCUGUCUGCGUGCGGGAGCCGCAGCGGCCGCCUCCCCUCCCGGGCUGUGGACGCACCGGGUUAUUCCUGGCAGCGCCUCCCCGAACAGAAGUUACUAGGAGGAGUGCGCGGCGAGGGCGGACGGGGGGAGAGGCGGAGGGAGGGAGGGAGGAAGAGGGAGAGACUCAGCCAACGACGUCAUCGGAUCCCCCAGCGCGUCCCAGGGAGGGAGGCUGAACCAGAAAAACCAGUCUGGAGCCAGUGAGCGAGAGAGGGAUGUGCGGCGCGCGGGGCGACGGGGGAGGGAGGCGGUCGGGAGGGCAGGGCCGGGCCCCACGGCUGCCGCUGCGGGCGGGGAGAUCGCGGCCGCGCACUCGCUCGGUCGGAGCGGGGAACUCCCCGGAGAGCUGGUCUCUACUUGUCAUGCAAAAAAACUUGGGCAUCUCUAGGAGCCUGAGAAUUUCCUUUAAGGAUGUGGAAACGUCCUCCGUCCCCACCCCUUCCCCAUUUCCCAGAGAAUCGUUGUCUGCCUUCCUGACGAACGGAAUUGUAUAAUUAGUAGUGCCCUUAGAUUUGGAACCAGUACUCCGGAUCCCUGGCCUCUCCUCGCCCCCUGCCUCUACUCACAAUUAUGUUAUCGGUCAAGAAAAGCAAAAUCAGACUGUGGCUCCCGGCUGGGUUUCUGGAGCUUUGUAGGGUUUUACUAGCACUUUCC
rnacentral:lncRNA from 1 species